CUUACGGGGGGCUGCAGUGGGGAAUUUUGGACAAUGGGGGCAACCCUGAUCCAGCCAUUCCGCGUGAGUGAAGAAGGCCUUCGGGUUGUAAAGCUCUUUCGGCAGGAACGAAACGGUGGGAGCUAAUAUCUUCUACUAAUGACGGUACCUGAAGAAGAAGCACCGGCUAACUACGUGCCAGCAGCCGCGGUAAUACGUAGGGUGCGAGCGUUAAUCGGAAUUACUGGGCGGAAAGCGUGCGUCAGCGGUGAAAUCCCCGGGCUUAACCUGGGAACUGCAUUUGAAACUAGGUCGCUAGAGUGUAGCAGAGGGGGGUAGAAUUCCACGUGUAGCAGUGAAAUGCGUAGAGAUGUGGAGGAAUACCGAUGGCGAAGGCAGCCCCCUGGGUUAACACUGACGCUCAUGCACGAAAGCGUGGGGAGCAAACAGGAUUAGAUACCCUUGUAGUC
rnacentral:rRNA from 1 species